rfam:Triticum aestivum genome assembly, contig: Triticum_aestivum_CS42_TGACv1_scaffold_640769_T_1BL-0.066232_4AL-0.045224
UUGACACUGUUCCAAAUUUCUUGUCUUAGAUUUGUCUAGAUACGGAUGUAUCUAAUACUAAAAUGUGACUUGAUACAUCCGUAUCUAGACAAAUCUAAGACAAGAAUUUUGGGAUGGAGGGAGUACUUU